AUAUGUAUUACGAUCUUCUUUGAGAUUAACAUAUUUGACGUACUUCCUUCUCGCUGGGUGGUCUGCUGUACUUCCACGCUUUGUGAUGUGUGUUUUAGUAGUGACUAGUGAUAUUUUGUGUGCAUUUUUGAUAUAAAAUGUGGAAACUACUAAUACACACAAAAUUUCUAUCACAAUAGAUUCUGGAAUUACAGUUUUAUCUGUUGUAUGUUUUUAUAUUAAUGGGUAUCGAAUUAUUUUGACGAUUCCCGUUGAUUAAGUUACUAAUUAUACCUACAGGUGAGAAUACACUUUUUCUUGCCUUUGCCAAGCGAAUUUUUCUUCAGCAGUUCAGUCUACAGGGACAGUGUAUUUCCUUCCUAAAGCUUAAAAGGCCUUGUUGUCCGUAGGCAUUACAAUACCAUCAAGGGACUUAAAAAUGACCUAUGUCACAAUGUAAUAAUAUUAAUGGUAUGAAGAGCUUUUAUAAAUGUAUCAUUCCUUCCGCACUAAUACAAAACCUUGGAAUAAGUUUGGCUUCAAAGAAAAGUUAUGAAAGUGACUUCUUCCCCUGGAAAUAAGAAUAAUGAUCACAGGAUGAAGUGGAUUGGUUUGUGACAUGUUUAGAGGCAUUAGAAGUUGUAGGACUAGAAGAUAAGAACAAUCGUUUGAGAAUAUUUUUGGGGGUUUGGUUGGUGUUAAAGCGCCACUACAUUUUGCUCGUUCUGUUACAAAAAUUAAAAGGGAAUGUCACUUUAAUACUUCGCGAAAGUGUGGAAAAAUACUUUCUUUUAUUAAGAACAGAGUUUAUUUUAUUUAAAAUUACAAUAAUGUUAAUGUUAAUGUAACAUAAUUAAUUUUAGGUUGGCGUUGCGUUUUCCAUAUGCAACGUCUAAUAGACAACCCUUAAACAACGUUUCAAAACUGACAGAAGCAAAACAGCAAAAUUGAUGUAAAAGUGACCUUUCCCUGUUAGUGUGAAUGUUAGCUUAAUACAAAUUAUUCAUGUAUUCAUUUUAUUUUAAUAUGAGAGAAGAUACUGGACAAGAAGCAUAAAAUAUGUAAAUUUUCAAUUUAACAGCUGUCUUAUUUUGCUGAUUAAUGAAUGGUACAGUGUGCAUCUAUUAUUUUAUCUGGCACCUGCUUCUAACUUUACUACCUCAUCGCCACAUUAAAAUUUUUACUUUAACGAAAAGGAAUUGCAGUUAAUUUUGAUGCUACUGAAAUAACUACAAUACUCCUUUUUUCGGUUAAUUAGAUUUGACCAACAAAUGAGAGAAAAUUGAAAGUUAAUUUUAACCCUAGUGAUGACCAUAAGCGAAGUUUGCAUUGAUGCCUUUCAGAGUUUGGUUUGCUUUUUGCAUGUAUGAAUUUGGAACGUUACACUCUGCAGCUAAUCAAGAUUGAUGUUAAGAUCCAAGAUAUCAAGAGCGGAAGAGUGCUCAUUUUGAUGUUGCUGAAAAACAAGCUGUCUUCUGUGGCGUUCUACAUGUUAACUUCUCAUCUUGGAGAAUCUCGAGGUUAAUUAAGGAACAUUACAAAAACUCCCGAUACCAAUAAAUUAAGGAGCAUUCAUUGUAGCAGUUUUCAUUCGCUCCAGAAAGUAAUGUGCCUGUGAUCUUAAAGAAAGCAUAAAAGUGGCUUUUUUGGUUGGGAAUGGAGUCAGUGUGCUGUUGCUGAAGGAAGGAUUAGUGAUAAUGAAUUGCAAUGGCAUUAAUGUGGAACUGAUCUUUCCAUCAGUGUGAAUGUUACUGAUUUACUUUCUUUAAAAGUGGUAAUUAGAUACUUUUUCCUGUUCGUUUCUGUAAAUUGCUCAACAAACGAGAAGGAAUUGCAGUUAAUUUUGGUGCCGAGAAUGAGAGGCAAUUGGAAAUUAAUUUGAAAGUCACUGAAACAACAAAUUGUAUGCAGUGGUGUCCCUAUUGAAUUUAGUUUGCUCAUCAUACUGGUAGAUUUUAGAACGCGACAUACUCGACGAUUGAUAUUAAUUGCUCUUCAUUAUUCUGUAUGGCAUUUCUUUUAAAUAUCUAUUGUUCACAACAUCUAUGGUUUUUCGUUUAACAUUUAUCUAUUGUUUACAGCUUAAAUUAACUUGUGUCAUACAUCUGUGGAAUUUUAAUAAUUACCUAUCGUCUGCUUCAUAAAUUGACAUCGUUCAUCUAUGAUUCUUUCACAUUUAUCUGUCAUUACGUAAAUUUGACGCUUGUCGACAUUUUGUAAUCCAGCUGCAUUACUUGCUUUUUGGUGCGUGUUUUUAGAUGUAUUUAAUCCCUUACUUGAUUAAUAGUGUAAUUAAUAUGUUUUUUGUUCAUUUCUACAGAUCGUCCAACAAAUGAGGGUGAAUUAAAGUUCUGCUUGGUUGUACUGAAACAACCAAUGACUACAUGGGUGUGGUCUUUCAUGGAAUAUAUUCUUGAUUUGCCGUUUUCGUCUUUGUCUUGCAACAUUAUUCAGUUAAUUUUCAACCGAUUAGUGAGAGCAACUGGAGGUUUAUUUGAAUUCUACUGAAAUAGCAAAUUUUCUGCAUUGGAAUUCCUCCUGGAUUAGUUUUGCAUUUCACUCCUGCAAACUUUGGGACAUUAUGGUCUACACUCUACAGUUAAUUAAGAUGGACGUUGGAGACGACAAAGAUGACCCCGUAGUUAAAAUA